rnacentral:sRNA from 1 species
UUUCUUCUUUAGAACUCAGACAGUUUGUUGAGACAAUAGGAAUCAGAAUACAGACUUUACAUGAGAGAUAUAAGAGACUUGAGGUCAAUUCCUUGCUGCAAUUCUCUUCCACCUUACUCAAUACAAUCUUGGUGAAUUCAACAUCCAUCUUUGUCAAACAAAGUGAUGCAUCCAGAACAGUGGGGAUCAAUACUGGAUACAUCGAUACACUGGAC